AGUUUACGCUCUACAACCCUUUGUGAACAUACCUACAACUGUUGCUUCGGCGGGUAGGGUCUCCGCGACCCUCCCGGCCUCCCGCCUCCGGGCGGGUCGGCGCCCGCCGGAGGAUAACCAAACUCUGAUUUAACGACGUUUCUUCUGAGUGGUACAAGCAAAUAAUCAAAACUUUUAACAACGGAUCUCUUGGUUCUGGCAUCGAUGAAGAACGCAGCGAAAUGCGAUAAGUAAUGUGAAUUGCAGAAUUCAGUGAAUCAUCGAAUCUUUGAACGCACAUUGCGCCCGCCAGCAUUCUGGCGGGCAUGCCUGUUCGAGCGUCAUUUCAACCCUCAAGCUCUGCUUGGUGUUGGGGCCCUACAGCCGAUGUAGGCCCUCAAAGGUAGUGGCGGACCCUCCCGGAGCCUCCUUUGCGUAGUAACUUUACGUCUCGCACUGGGAUCCGGAGGGACUCUUGCCGUAAAACCCCCCAAUUUUCCAAAGGUUGACCUCGGAUCAGGUAGGAAUACCCGCUGAACUUAAGCAUAUCAAUA
rnacentral:rRNA from 1 species